AUGAACAGACUGGCUCAUAAGGGCCUGCAACGGUCCAAGGCUUUGGAGCACAGUGAUUGGCUGAGCCUGCGGCAGGCCGUGAGGGGCGUGGCUUCACGUCAGCACUUCCUGUACAUACAGAUUGUCAAUAAGAAGGUCAGUUGGGUUGAAUAUAAUCAGCCAUGACAUGCAUAAACAACACACUUUAAAAACUCUUUUGCAAGAAUGUUUUCCAGUUAACCAGCUGGGUCAGUCAAUGGGACGUUUUGCUGCCCACAGUGAAAUAUUAUUUGUCUGAAAUACCACAAAACCUUUGUGAGGUUUGUUCUUUCUGCUUUAUGUUAUAUUGCUAUGUUUCCAGGUGACUCUGUACACGUAUAACUGGUCAGUGGAUCUGGGCGUCUCUGAAUCAGGGUCUGGUCAGACUGGUGCAGUGGCAGAACACCUGCACUCAUGUGGUCAACUGCCUCCUCAGACAGAAAAUGGUCCUUUUUCCAUCCUUACUGCUUCUCUGUUACACCUACACAUGAGGACCUGAAACAGGUCAGUACACAAACACACUGCUGUGUUCUCAAUGCAACACCUGCAUACUGCAUACUGCAGUGAUUCAUUAGAAAC
ensembl:lncRNA